rnacentral:lncRNA from 1 species
AAAUUUUUAUAAUUUUUACUAAUAAAUAAUUAAAAAUAUUCGUAAUCUUGACAAAAAAAAGUAUUUGUAAUCAAAAUCAUGUAUUGACAUACGUGCAGUUAGGACUGUUCAUUAAUAACUGUUAACUGAACCAAACCGUACAGAACUGAACCGGAAAUAACUGACCCAUACUAUAAGUUUACGAACCGAACCAUUAAUCUCAAGACAGUUCUCUAACUGUGAACCGAACUGUGAAUAACCUAACCGAACUGUGGAUAACCGAACCGAAAACUCAAAACUUAAAAGUUGUUCCCUAACUGUUUAUUCAUUUUUUUAAUUGUGUUUAACAGUUCGAUUCGAUUAACCGAUUAACUAAUCCAUAACUACAAUUAUAUUGUGUUUAACGGUUUGGUUCGGUUAACCGAUUAACAGAACUAUCAGUACAAUUCAAUUUAGUUUUGCUAUAAACCUUAACCGUUUGGUUCAGUUUGCCCGAACUGUACCAUGAACAGUCCUACAUACAGUGGUCAAUGAGUUCUUAUAUUUUGAAACAGAGGUAGUAAAUAAGUACUUCCUCUAUCUCAAAUCUUUGGUAUUUUGGGACUGCGUGCAGAAGUGAAAGGAAAGAGAAGGAAUUGAGUUCAAUACUAUCAUUAAUAAAUACAAGAUAAUUACAUAUGAAUGAAAGGCAAACGGGCAACAAGUUGCGCCGCUAACCCUUUUUGAAUGGCAAAAUCAAUUCUCUUAAAAACAACGGUCAUAGUUGUAGGGAACACAACAUUGUUA